rnacentral:rRNA from 1 species
GACGAACGCUGGCGGCGUGCCUAAUACAUGCAAGUGGGACGCAAGAGAACACACUGUGCUUGCACACCGUGUUUUCUUGAGUCGCGAACGGGUGAGUAACGCGUAGGUAACCUGCCUAUUAGCGGGGGAUAACUAUUGGAAACGAUAGCUAAUACCGCAUAAUAUUAAUUAUUGCAUGAUAAUUGAUUGAAAGAUGCAAGCGCAUCACUAGUAGAUGGACCUGCGUUGUAUUAGCUAGUUGGUAAGGUAAGAGCUUACCAAGGCGACGAUACAUAGCCGACCUGAGAGGGUGAUCGGCCACACUGGGACUGAGACACGGCCCAGACUCCUACGGGAGGCAGCAGUAGGGAAUCUUCGGCAAUGGACGAAAGUCUGACCGAGCAACGCCGCGUGAGUGAAGAAGGUUUUUGGAUCGUAAAGCUCUGUUGUAAGUCAAGAACGUGUGUGAGAGUGGAAAGUUCACACAGUGACGGAGCUACCA